rnacentral:lncRNA from 1 species
UGCUCAUGAUCAGAAAUCUUGAAGGCCUUCCUGGUAUUUUUGAAGAUAUUCCUAUAAAUCCCAUGUGAGGCAAAAGAAAUGUUCUAUACGCUCCAUUUUAUAUAUGCGGUCACUUCGAAAUAACUGAAGCCUUUUAGAUGCUAAGUGAAUCAGGUAUGAAGAGUUUCUUCCCUGAGCUGAUACUGCGCAUCCUGAUAAAAGUGACCCUUGCACCCCUGUAAACCCAGCUAAUAUACUAUCCUAUACAAAGAUGUUGUUUUUUCAUCUCUACUUCUUUGUAGAAAGCAAUCAAAAAAGAAAAAAAAAAAAAAAAAAAAAGGAAGAAUGAAAUAUAUAGGAAACACUUUGACCCCUUUAAAUUUUCAUUUCCAUGGCAAAAUUUUCUUGAUUCCCUUGGACACCUUUUGAAAGUGAAAAACAUAACAUCGUAGUGCGUCAUACUGAUAAUUCCAUCCAUGCAGUGUUCUUCUUAUACAGUUUGGAUCCCAAAGUAUUUCCUAUUGAUUUUAGCCUUCAGACAGCCUCCUUAAGCAGCUUUUGAAGAUCUUCUCUGGUACUGCCUCUGCAUAUAGAAAAGCCUGAUACUUUUUUUUUUCCGUGAAUUAAUGAAUGUUAAGGAGAAACGGUAACCUUUUAAAAUAACUUUCUGAGUUAGAGAGAAAGAAGUAAGUACAAAAAUGAGAUUUAAACUUGAAAGAUCUUUUGCAAUUUGUUUAUGUUCUUGAGUGCCUUGUGUUAUAUCUUUACAAUACAACUGCUAAGUUGGUCAACAGAUGGCAACCUAGCAUUAGGCAAUGGAAUAUGGCUGUGUGAGUGGAAAAUCCUGGCUGCAGUGUAAGAAUAAGCUGUGCAGCGGAUGCACUAGAAAGUAUUAUGCAGAUUAUUGAGAAAAAAAUAGUAAAAAUCAAAGAAAAAGUAGAUGUGGCAAGCAUGUAAAAUAUGUAAGUUGAAUGUUGUAGUAGUUUUUGGUAAAUCAAUGCUUAAUAUCCAAAGUCAAAAUGUGUAAUCGAUUAGAAUUCACAGGCGCAUCAACCCAUGGACUAGGAUAAAAAUGUGAAACAAAUAGACAGCUAAAAGACCAAAUAAUAGCAACUGAUGGUGGAACCUUGCUUACCGCUUUAAAAAAACACUUCUGCCACUUUGUUUGAGAAGGGAUAUUUAUUUUAAAGGAUUAUUAUUUUUAAAGCAUUCUUAGUUUAAAAGGAAUAAAUUCUGUCUGCUACUUGAGUUACCUGUUUGCUUUCCUAUAUAAACAGAUGCAAACAUCACACACUUGCACUGGUUUAAAGUAACACUGGCGUCUUCCUUAUCGUGUGUGCAGUCACCCAAAAGCAGCAGUGGAUUAUUUGUGUUAUAGCCAGUUUAAUGAAUUAUUGAUUAAAUUCUGCUGGUAAAGAGUUAUACAUUCUUUUCCUUAAAACUAGGGAGCAUGGAAACUUCAUGAUAACGUGCCUGAUUUUAGAAGUGCUGCCUUUUGCUAGAAAGGCUCUGGGCAAGGCUGCCCUAGGAGAAGUGUAUCUCAGCACUGCUUCAAGCUGCACACUUGUGUGGAAGCUGAAGAUCUCAUUCAAGUAAAUGCUCAUUUUUGCUCAUGUUUCUCAUUUCUAUGUGCAGCUGGCUGAACACUGACAGCUGAGUUUUAUGCUGAUCUAAAUAAUACUAUUUUUCAUUUCCCAGCUAUAUUCAAAUCUGCAGCAGUACAAAAGCAGUGUUAUUUUGAUGGUAGGGUGAGGAAAGUUGUUACUGCUCCCUCAAUGGUGGCUCCGACAUUGCAGUUUUCAUGGUGGAGUCAGCACUGUAUCUACAGAGUAUUGGAGAAUGUGUUAAAUUCCUCUCUUCAGAAAAAAAAUACUUACAUAGCUAAAAAUGUGAUGAAUGCUAUGCAUUUGCUCUCACAGACAACAAAUCAAAGAGAAAUUUAUGCAGAAUUUGUUUUUUAGUUCUGUUUUUAAAGAUGAACAAAAGAGCAGCUGCGCUGCAUAGACCAAACGUCUGCUCUGUCUCUGGUGGUGGCCAAAAACUGAUGCCUGAGGAAAAGUGCAUGUAAAGAGCAAGCAUAAGUGGAUAGUACUACCACAGUAACCAAACAUGUGCCCGUCAUUCACAGAUAAAGAAGGCAAUCAUUGUCUUCAUUCAUCAAUUUCUUUCAAUAAUGUUCAAAAAGCAGCUAAGUAAAGCUUGGUCAAAACGGAAGCGUUUCUUGCUUUCUCAGAUCUGGAAAAAUAGAGAGAGUGAGAGCAACUGCCUGAAACACCCAAACUACCUCGACGCUCACUCAUGUGAGCAUAUGCCUUUUGCUAAAUGAGGGCUCAUAUGAGGGCUCUUCUCAGGUAUUCAGCCUCUUUCAUGUGUGAAACAGAUGGGAAGGUCUUUGCUGAUCAGAACUGAGGAGCAGAGCCUUUCUGAAAAGGUUGUCAGUCAGGACUGAGUGAGAGUGAGACAGAAUAGUAAUUUUUAUUUUUUAUUUUUUUUCCCUACAAAAGGUAGCACUUACCAGUCACCCAUUCAUUGUUAGAAGUUACCCUUCAGGGACUGAAGUUUCCCAUUACCUUAGCCAAAAUAAUUUCCUUCCUAGUGUUUCUUUUCAGUGUAGAAGAGCCUGUCAAUUCCAGAUUACACACUGAGAUGUAAAUGAACUCUUUUCCUGCCUUUUGUUUGAAGACCAUUAUUUUCGGUAGUAAAACUGAGGCAUGCACCAUGACCGUUGAAUGUCUGACAAAAUAUUCUCAUUUUGUGAGGGCAGAGAGGGGUCUUUUUGUGUGAACUUGAUGCUUCACAGGUAUGGUUAUAUUGCCUCUAGAUUCAGAACUAAUGGAAUUGCUUUGUGGGCCAUGAAUCCCUGAGCAGGGCUUCAGUAAUUGGCGUAGAUAGACACAGAGGCAGUAUUUUAUUCCAGGUUGUUUUUCUCCCUCUGUUCCCAUACACUCCAUGUUGUAUAGACAAAGCAUUCAGUGUCACUUAGAUAUGGGAUAAAUUCUUUCUAUCAGGUUUCUUCUCCCAUUUUAUUCCCUUUUUGCCUAGUUUAACAUGAGCACGGGACUCUUAUAUGAGAGAAUGAAGUGCUCAUCCCAGUUCCUUCUCCUGAUGAAGCUGCCCUCUCAUGCACUGUCGGUCUCGCUUCUUUCGAGCAGCAAGGGCAGCUGCUCCUUCUUCUUUCUGCAUUUAUUCAGCGUGAUAUGUUUCCACUGUUUGUGGCCUUCUUUCAGAUAGAUUUAAG